rnacentral:lncRNA from 1 species
CUUCGAGGUCCAACCUCAGUGAUUCCAUGACACUGAGCUCCAGAGGCGCUUCUGUGCUGAGCACACAGCAUAGGCCCACGCUGAGAGCAUCACCAACAGCCCUGAUAGCAUUGUGGGAUGCCUCAGGGGGACCGCUGGGCUGGGGGAGACAAGUGAGGGCAAGGAACUGCCCCAGAAGCCUGCCUAGGGCAUGAAAGGCGAAGGGCUGAAGCCUGAUGUAACUGAUGGUAUCUUUUGAGUGAGAGUACUGAAGCAUUUCAGUCACAGCCCCAGCUGGGUUACUCACCUGAGGGGAAUGCAUGCAGCCCUCAGCCCGGGGUGCUCACCGGUGUCCGAAAGCAUUCUUCCCUACUGCACGGUCACACCACAGAUGUGCUGAAAGCAAGAAAUACAGCCACGCUUCGUGCAGCACCACUACUGCAGUCUGUGUUAGAAUAAAGACUUGAGAAUUAGGGGCAAAUGCUUCCGUUCCCUUCAGAGGCUCCAUUGAAGCAAUUCCUUCACCUUGAACGUGUUUUAUUGCUGGCUCGCUCCCUCAAAAAACAAACCCUCUAAAAUCUAGAGUCAAUAUCCAGUCCUUUUGGUGCAAUUCUGUUUCUAGGAAGGCUGAAUUUGUGGUUACUAUUAAUUAGCGAUUCAGCUGCAGUUCUCUCCUACACAAACCACUUGUCUUAGCCCACAAUAGUCUGCUGUCUGAUCCAAAACCUGUCCUUACAAGACGCUGUUUAACGUGUUGAGCAAUUGUUUCUCUAAAUCAGUUCUCUAUGGUGGUAUUUGGCCAGUUGCGCUCGUGUAAGCAAGGUUAACGAGUUAAUCUAGUAAUUAGAUAGACCCUCUGUAAUUAGAUAGACUUAUCUGAUUGAUAUUGCCUGCCAUUACGCCUGCAACAUCCUUUUCCUGCUCUGAAAGCCUGAGAUACAAUCCUGCCGGCAUAGCAGGGUGAGGAAUGUACGCCCACUCCGACUCCUCUUUGUUCAUAACACUUCUCCAUUUCAGGUCUGGGAAAUCUGAUUAGCUGCCACUACUGCAGUUCACCGGAUAGCCACGUGGCCAGAAAAGCUUUGUGAAGGCUCUGGAAUGUAUUGAUGAAGGGAAGGCAUUAUCAGUGCACGAUUUAACAUCCAAAUCAGUCGCAGGAGAUUAGAAUGUUCUUAAAUGUUCCUAUUGUUUGCAUUCCUGUUACAUCUUCUGCUAUGGAAGCUCCAGCGGGGCAUCACCAGAAGGAACAUAACUUAAUAAAGGAGUGGGUGAAAAGCUGAAGGAAUGCAGUGAGGGGUGCUGAGAUUUGAACCCAAGGGACAAAGGCUGCAAGUGCAGACUGAUGUUUUCAGAGAAUAAGGAAUGAGGCAUGCUAGACAGGGAGGGAAGCUGCGCCUUACAGAGGUCAUGCAAGGCCAGUCACUGCCCAGCACGUGAAUGUGUUUUUCUGGCCUUCCUUCCUUCCCAUUAUGAAUUCUGGUCAUUCUGGUUACACAACUCAAAGCCCGGACAUUUUUUCCCGUUUUGGGGCAAUGUGCCCAUGGAAAUGAGAGCUAUCGGCAGCCAAUCCUUCAUUAUUAAUAUCAGCUAAAGCAAAGUGCAAUUGCCUGGGAGCAGUAUGGGGCUGAGUGUACACGCACAGAAUGCCUCCUGGCCUCGCAGUGAGUGGGUGCAGGCAGGGCUGUGGCAUCCAGCAGGCAGGAACUCGCCCUGCUGUCUUCUGUUUGCAUCCCAAGGAGCGCUGGUGAAGGUGAAGCUGUCAUUGCUUUGUGCUGUCCAGCUGGUCUCAUCUUCACAGCUUUUGUACUGAGAUUGAUCCCGAUUGAGCCAGGAAUGCCUUCAUUCAAGUUCUUGCUGCUAAGCACUAAGCACAUUAAAUGUUCCAGAAGGGGUAAGAUUUUGGGUUCAGAUAUAAUGAAGUUCUUUCAGAGUAAUUCCCUAAUAAAUCAGUUACGUCUGACUCAGUGGAAUUUUAUGUACCCCUGGCUAAAUUGAAAUAUAUGCCUGCUGAAACAUCUG